rnacentral:misc_RNA from 1 species
GNUUUCAGUAGUCAGACGAUCAGGCACCUCUACGGAGGUUACACGCCUAUGCUGAAUGUAUUCACCCUUGUCUUUUGCGUACUUCUUGUUUCCUUGGUGGGUUCGCCCACCACUAGGACAAACAUAAACCUUUUGUAAUUGCAAUCAGCGUCAGUAACAAAUUAAUAAUUACAACUUUCAACAACGGAUCUCUUGGUUCUGGCAUCGAUGAAGAACGCAGCGAAAUGCGAUAAGUAGUGUGAAUUGCAGAAUUCAGUGAAUCAUCGAAUCUUUGAACGCACAUUGCGCCCUUUGGUAUUCCAAAGGGNCNAUGCCUGUUCGAGG